GUGCUUGCUUUGGCAGCAUGUAUACUAAAAUUGGAACGAUACAGAGAAGAUUAGUAUGGCCCCUGUGCAAGGAUGACAUGCAAAUUCAUGAAGCGUUCCAUAAAAAA